AUUGAACGCUGGCGGCAGGCCUAACACAUGCAAGUCGAGCGGAUGAAGGGAGCUUGCUCCUGGAUUCAGCGGCGGACGGGUGAGUAAUGCCUAGGAAUCUGCCUGGUAGUGGGGGAUAACGUCCGUAAACGGGCGCUAAUACCGCAUACGUCCUGAGUGAGAAAGUGGGGGAUCUUCGGACCUCACGCUAUCAGAUGAGCCUAGGUCGGAUUAGCUAGUUGGUUGGGUAAAGGCCUACCAAGGCGACGAUCCGUAACUGGUCUGAGAGGAUGAUCAGUCACACUGGAACUGAGACACGGUCCAGACUCCUACGGGAGGCAGCAGUGGGGAAUAUUGGGCAAUGGGCGAAAGCCUGAUCCAGCCAUGCCGCGUGUGUGAAGAAGGUCUUCGGAUUGUAAAGCACUUUAAGUUGGGAGGAAGGGAAGUAAGUUAAUACCUUGAUGUUUUGACGGUACCAACAGAAUAAGCACCGGCUAACUUCGUG
rnacentral:rRNA from 1 species